UCGCCAGACUCCUACGGGAGGCAGCAGUGGGGAAUAUUGCACAAUGGGCGAAAGCCUGAUGCGGCAACGCCGCGUGGGCGAUGAAGGCCUUCGGGUCGUAAAGCUCUGUCCUCAAGGAAGAUAAUGACGGUACUUGAGGAGGAAGCCCCGGCUAACUACGUGCCAGCAGCCGCGGUAAUACGUAGGGGGCUAGCGUUAUCCGGAAUUACUGGGCGUAAAGGGCGCGUAGGUGGUUUCUUAAGUCAGAGGUGAAAGGCUACGGCUCAACCGUAGUAAGCCUUUGAAACUGGGGAACUUGAGUGCAGGAGAGGAGAGUGGAAUUCCUAGUGUAGCGGUGAAAUGCGUAGAUAUACGGAGGAACACCAGUGGCGAAGGCGGCCUGCUGGACAUUAACUGACGCUGAGGCGCGAAAGCGUGGGGAGCAAACAGGAUUAGAUACCCCGGUA
rnacentral:rRNA from 1 species